rnacentral:rRNA from 1 species
GGGUGAGUAACACGUGGAUAACCUACCUAUAAGACUGGGAUAACUUCGGGAAACCGGAGCUAAUACCGGAUAAUAUUUUGAGCCGCAUGGUUCAAAAGUGAAAGACGGUCUUGCUGUCACUUAUAGAUGGAUCCGCGCUGCAUUAGCUAGUUGGUAAGGUAACGGCUUACCAAGGCAACGAUGCAUAGCCGACCUGAGAGGGUGAUCGGCCACACUGGAACUGAGACACGGUCCAG